GCCUCGUUAUUGGUGCAUGAACCAUGGCGAAGACUUCAAGCUUGCAGCGAAUUGUCGUUGUGGCUGCAUUAGCCUUUCUUCUGUCGACGUUGCAAGAACAAAGCAGCUUUCGUGCCACUGCAAGAAAGACGCCUUGCAGGAACCCUAAAUUUCUAUGCCCCGAGGAAAUACGGCGUCGUGAAGAGGAGAGGAGGAUGUGGGUGUCUUCGUACUUAUCCGGUCCAAAGCCUCGGGCAGAUCCAGACUUGGGUGCCUAGGGAAUUUGCUUGCAGCAAUGGUGCAAUUCUCAAAUGAGAACUUCUAAAUAAAUCUAUCUUGCUUCAGGAA
rnacentral:lncRNA from 1 species